GGGGUUCUGGUCUAAAUUUAGGACGUGCCGCUGUUAACGGCAAGGUGAAGUUUUAUUCGUGCCCUU
rnacentral:tRNA from 1 species